GGCGACCCUACGAGGCUCAUCACUGGUGCGCGUACUUCAAUAGCAGGUCCACGGCCUCUGCCAGGUUGUCCACGUACCCGUCAGCCUUCACUUCUGGAUGGUGCUCGUCACUGGGCCUGGAGAGCAGGGCUACAGGGUCGGCCCAGUGGCUCCCCCGGGGCUGCGGAGGCCCCAAACCGAGAGCCUCGGAGACAACACAAGAGGGUGAGUGCGUGGGACCCCCCCUCCCCCCCCCCCCCCCACUGGGGCCAACGACCCGAGCAAGAAUAGCUCUCAUGUCAGGGCAGGUAUCCCAGGGGAUUAUUUCAUUCUUGCCAUCACGGCCAUAACCCGACGGACGCGGGACUGAAGAUUUGCGUCACCCCACGUCAGUGCCGAAACAGGUACUGGUCACCAUCAAAAGGUUGUAUGUGGCCUGGCCACUUAGCGAACCGUGCGUUGGCCCCUCCUUGUGACCCACCAGUUUCACUCCUACGUGUGCACAUAACAUGUUCCUCGAAGGACACGGACCAGAAUGUUCCUAACGGCUUCGGUCACGAUGGCAAAAAAGGGGGGAAACGGCACAAACGUCCGGCAACAGGGCCGCGGAGAGACAGGCGGCGGGAGGUGCGCGCGUCAGAACACCGCGACGCCGCGACGGCGCCACUCAGAAGGCGCUGCUGUCUACGUUGUGGCGUGGCUGGGCCCCACGGGCAGCACGACAGGCUCAAGGAACCCAAAGUGGAUGACCCACUUCUGCCAUGUUCAGGAAUGGGUGCCACCAGUCUCUACAGGGCAGAGGCCAGAAGAUGGUUACUUCUUGGGGAGGGAAUGAUCGAGGGUGCUGGCCACGUUCUAGAUCUUUACCUGGGUGGUGGUUACAGGGGUGGUGCGGAGGGCAAAACCCAUCACCCUGCUCGUUUUUAGUGUUCUUCGUAUACACACAUAUGGGUACGUAACAAAAAGUCACGUGUAAUGCAAAUUAUAUGACAAGGACAAGGCACCUAUUUCCCAUCACCGCACCUGUUCUCUGUGGCCCCUGGGCCAAACCCUGCCCGCAGCCUGCUUUUGUGCAGCUCUCCAGCUACUGUAAACAGAAAAGAAUAUGCCAGGGGUGCCUGGGUGGCUCAGUAGGUUAAGCAUCCGACUCUUGAUCUCGGCUCCGGUCACGAGCUCACGGUUCGUGAGUUCGAGCCCCACAUCAGGCUCUGCGCAGCCGGUGCAGAGCCUGCUUGGCAUUCCCUCCCCCUCGCCACUGCCCCUCCCAGGACACACGUGCCCGCUCUCUCUCAAAAUAAAUAAAUUUUUAAAAACUA